GGCAAGAAAGCAUGGUUUCCUGAGAUGUCUACACUAAGGUACAUGUAGUUGACUUUAAAAAAUCACAGUCAGUGACAAUCUUUUAUUUUUGUUUUUAGAAGAAUGAUAUAUACCCUGCUACUCAUCAUGAAAGGUGAAGGUCAUCAAAUACCCACUGCCGAUUUGUUCCGUGUACAAAGACAAAAUCAAUCUGAGAUCCGGUGUUUUAGUACCACCUGUCUGUGCAAUCAUUACCAAAUUUGGAGCGUCAUCAAGGUCAAAGGGUGCAUAGGCUGUUCCAUUUAACACCAAUCUUUCCGCCUUCUUCCUUUAACUUACGGGUCUUCUCCGGCAUCUGUUGCUGCGUGUGGCUCAGGAGACUGACGUCAUCUGCAAAGUCUAUACCCUCCAUGCUCACUGUAAAUGUCCAGUGUAUCCCACGGGGCUCCUCUGUCACUCGUCUCACCAUCCAGUCCAAGUCUUGUACAUGCUCAGCAUAAAAUGCGUAAUGACCGAAAAUGGAGAUCGUGCCGGGGACCCAGGGGAGGAUAUCACAUGUAAUAGCGAUCUCAUCAAAAUGAAUGAAUGGUCCAAAACAAUGAUUACAACCAAUCACCUGAUGAGCAGGCUGAAAGUAGACAUGCAAUAUAGAUUUACGUGUACUUAAGGCAAAAAAGGCGUAAACUACGUAAGAGUGCAGUUCCUGCUAUUACUGGACAUUCAACAUUCCAUUGAAAACAUCUUACCGACUCGGAAUUAUAAAAAAACGUCUUCCAAAUAUGACUUUACACGUUACAGAAAUUCUCAUCGUGUUUCUCUGUCUUCUUCCACUUUGUCAUGCUAGAAAGUUAUCGCCACUGGAACUGGCCAUAAGGAAAAACCUUCCGGAAGGACAGUCAUUAAGGAUGUUUCUGGAAGUUUGUGAGGCAUGUGGUGAACUUUAUGGAUCCGCCUUUACACACUUCUGCCUGAUCGAAAGGAAACACGAAACAUACUUCAACUGUCUGUUAGCCAUGGGGUUUAAACGGUAAAAGGAUUAAUGGAUUAUCAGCUCGAACGUGCCAGACCAUAACACAUUCCAAGUCCCGAAAUAUAUCGAUAUCAAAUGGAAAAUCUAAUAUUGUAAUGUUGUACGACAGUGCAUGAAAAUAAAAUAUUGUCAAAUAA